CGCCUGCCACGCGGGAGGCCCGG
rnacentral:piRNA from 3 species